AGGCUUACUGUUUCUUUAAGAAUUUAUUAAUUAUGAUAAUUUUUGCAGAGCUGGAACCACGGGUAUAAUUUGCUUGAUGCAUUUUGAGGGAUUAAAUAGUAGGGAGGCAACAAGGGAAGCAAAAACAAGAAGACCGAUCAUUGAACCAAUCUGUGAUUUCAAAACUCUUCUGACCUUCUGUGAUCUAGUCCCACGUGAUCCAGCAAACAAGCGGUUCCAUAUCUAGGAUUCAUCUAACAGAGUUCCAUAUCUAGAAUUCAUCCACCACAGUUCCAUAUCUAGGAUUCAUCUAACACAGUUCCAUAUCUAGGAUUCAUCUAACAGAGUUCCAUAUCUAGGAUAUAUCUACCACAGUUACAUAUCUAGGAUUCAUCUAACACAGUUCCAUAUCUAGGAUAUAUCUACCACAGUUCCAUAUCUAGCAUAUAUCUACCACAGUUCCAUAUCUUGGAUUCAUCAACCACAGUUCCAUAUCUAG